rnacentral:rRNA from 1 species
AGAGUUUGAUCCUGGCUCAGAUUGAACGCUGGCGGCGUGCUUAACACAUGCAAGUCGAACGGGAUCCAGAGCUUGCUCUGGUGAGAGUGGCGCACGGGUGAGUAACGCGUGGAUAACCUGCCCUGGUAUCCGGAAUAACAUCUCGAAAGGGGUGCUAAUACCGGAUAAGCCUACGGAGCCCUCGGUCUCUGCAGGAAAAGGUGGCCUCUAUUUAUAAGCUACCGUAUCAGGAUGGGUCCGCGUACCAUUAGCUAGUUGGUGGGGUAAUGGCCUACCAAGGCGACGAUGGUUAGCUGGUCUGAGAGGAUGAUCAGCCACACUGGAACUGAGACACGGUCCAGACUCCUACGGGAGGCAGCAGUGGGGAAUUUUGCGCAAUGGGGGAAACCCUGACGCAGCAACGCCGCGUGAGUGAUGAAGGCUUUCGGGUCGUAAAGCUCUGUCAGAGGGGAAGGAAUGAGAUUGGCUAAUAUCCAAUUUUCUUGACGGUACCCUCAAAGGAAGCACCGGCUAACUCCGUGCCAGCAGCCGCGGUAA